rnacentral:tRNA from 1 species
UCCCUGGUGGUCUAGUGGUUAAGAUACAGCGCUUUCACUGCUGCAGCACAGGUUCAAUCCCUAGUCUGGGAA